rnacentral:rRNA from 1 species
AACGAACGCUGGCGGCGUGCCUAACACAUGCAAGUCGAGCGAGAAAGGGGGGGGCAACCCCCCCGAGUAGAGCGGCGCACGGGUGAGUAACGCGUAGGUAACCUACCCCCCGGCGGGGGAUAACUACUCGAAAGAGUGGCUAAUACCGCAUGAGACCACGGGGUCCUCGAAUCCUGAGGCCAAAGGCCGCUUCGGCUUGCCGGAGCGGUCACCGGCGGAGGGGCCCGCGUCCGAUUAGCUAGUUGGUGGGGUAACGGCCCACCAAGGCUACGAUCGGUAGCUGGUCUGAGAGGAUGAUCAGCCACACUGGAACUGGAACACGGUCCAGACUCCUACGGGAGGCAGCAGUGAGGAAUAUUGCGCAAUGGGGGAAACCCUGACGCAGCAACGCCGCGUGGGUGAAGAAGGCCUUCGGGUCGUAAAGCCCUUUCGGACGGGACGAACGCUCCGCGGUGACAACCCGCGGAGCCUGACGGUACCGUAAGAAGAAGCACCGGCUAACUCCGUGCCAGCAGCCGCCGUAACAC